rnacentral:rRNA from 1 species
AUGAACGCUGGCGGCGUGCCUAAUCCAUGCCCGUCGAGCGAACAGAUGAGGAGCUUGCUCCUCUGACGUUAGCGGCGGACGGGUGAGUAACACGUGGAUAACCUACCUAUAAGACUGGGAUAACUUCGGGAAACCGGAGCUAAUACCGGAUAAUAUAUUGAACCGCAUGGUUCAAUAGUGAAAGACGGUUUUGCUGUCACUUAUAGAUGGAUCCGCGCCGCAUUAGCUAGUUGGUAAGGUAACGGCUUACCAAGGCAACGAUGCGUAGCCGACCUGAGAGGGUGAUCGGCCACACUGGAACUGAGACACGGUCCAGACUCCUACGGGAGGCAGCAGUAGGGAAUCUUCCGCAAUGGGCGAAAGCCUGACGGAGCAACGCCGCGUGAGUGAUGAAGGUCUUCGGAUCGUAAAACUCUGUUAUUAGGGAAGAACAAAUGUGUAAGUAACUAUGCACGUCUUGACGGUACCUAAUCAGAAAGCCACGGCUAACUACGUG